rnacentral:rRNA from 1 species
GCGUAAUGAAAGUGAAGGUUCUCCUCGCGAGAACCUAGGGAGGACGGGCGGKUUUCACCCUUAAAAGUGGCCGCUCCGCACUCCCGGGGCGUCUCGUUCUCAUCGCGAGAAGAGGCGCACCAAGAGCGUACACGCUGGGACCCGAAAGAUGGUGAACUAUGCCUGGUCAGGACGAAGUCWGGGGAAACCCUGAUGGAGGUCCGUAGCGAUUCUGACGUGCAAAUCGAUCGUCGGAACUGGGUAUAGGGGCGAAAGACUAAUCGAACCAUCUAKUAGCUGGUUCCCUCCGAAGUUUCCCUCAGGAUAGCUGGCGCUCGUCGCGCACGAGUCUCAUCCGGUAAAGCGAAUGAUUAGAGGCAUUGGGGUCGAAACGACCUCMACCUAUUCUCAAACUUUAAAUGGGUGAGAUCUCCGGCUUGCUCRAACUCACACUAAAAUUAKUUGAAGCCGCGAGACACGGAUCAGAGUGCCAAGUGGGCCAUUUUUGGUAASCAGAACUGGCGCUGUGGGAUGAACCAAACGUCKAGUUAAAGCGCCUAAAUCGACGCUUAUGGGAUACCAUGAAAGGCGUUGGUAACUUAAKACAGCAGGACGGUGGCCAUGGAAGUCGGA